AUGACAGCCCUAAAAAUGGAAGCCCUCUAAUUAUCCACAGAAUGGGUGUAGCAUGGGCAGCAGGUUUCUCUGUAAUGUUCCAUGAAUGUGUAUCAGAGCUAUACUAAAGGGACCACCUUUAGGAGUGAGAGGAUAGUUUAGUUUCCAUGCCCACUGAAUCCUUGUAUGCA
rnacentral:sRNA from 1 species